AUAAGGGGAAUAUUUUACUGCUACUUAUGCUUAUUAUCAUUAUGAUUGCAUUAAUUAACUUUGCAUUAAGUCAUGAUCAUUGCAUUAAACCAUAUAAUAAUCACUUCAUUGAAGCAGUUAUUGAAGCUGCUGUCAUUACAUUAAAGUCUGUAUUACAGGUGUUAUCAUAAUUACAUAAUAUUCUUUACACAUUGCAAUUUGGUGCUUAUUAAUGAGUUGUGGCUCAGUCAAUUGAUUAGAAGGUUGAAAGCUCCGUUGGGCGUGAAUGUCCCGGCGAAACAUGGAGUAAGUGUCUUGGAGCUAUGGAAGGUUCAAUGCAUGCACGCCUACAAAACACAUAUAAUACAUUUAAUCAAGAAACAGGCUUGAGGGAAGGCCUGAAUGUAUUCAGCUUCUUGUCGCAUUUGAGUUUGCCCAGAUACAGGUGACAGAAGAGGUGGCCAGAUGACUACCAUCCCCAAGGACCGUCUGGAGGGUGCAGCGAGUGGCCUUAUAUGGAAAUUGUGAUAGAAAACAGGAACUUCUAUGUCUAUUUUAGUUUAUUAAAAUGAAUAUUUACUGUAACUGACAUAUCAUAAUGUUUGUAAAUGCAUGAAGGGGCGUUAACCAACCCUGACGUUAUAAAAGCAAUCUGAAGUGUAUUUUUGGGCGGAGUCCUACAACUGAUGUUUGGCAGUUCGUACCUCCCCGCAUGUGUAUUCAAUAAACUCUUCCGUUUGAUUGCAUCCUUCUGGGCCUUUGGUAUUUUGUUUUGGAUCUCAGUAUUUCGAAUCGGGACAGUUUUGGUGCCGUGACCCGGAUAUCUGAGUCCAUUGACCUGGUUCUGAGGUUCUGGUGGAGAAAAACAGAGGCCAGAGGUGGUCAAGCAGGCAGACGGGACCCAGUGGUUCGGCUGAGUGUUCAGGGCCCUGACAAAAAAGAGUGAAAACAGAAACUGAAGCAGCUGAAUGAAGACACACUGGGCCAGUAAGUGAACAGGAAGACCAGUGCAGAGAUGAAAACAUUGAAAGAGAACCACAGUGAGUGUUGCAAAUGGAUGAUCAUGUGCCAAGGAAUAUCCGGUUGGAUGAAAGAGGAUGUAAAGAGCAUCCUAAAGUCUUUGCAAGAUUUGCAACAGGAAAAUAAGAAACUAGAGGGACAGAUACAGACUCUGUCCAUAAACAAAGAGGAACUGGAGCUCCUGAAUGAUGUACCAUAUGACACAGUGGAGAAUCAACUAGCCGAUGCAGUCAGGAGAACCACAUGACUGCACCAAGAAAGCUGAAGCUGAAGAAAAGUCGGAGAGACCUGGAGACUUGAAGGGGCAACAGUCAGCUCAGAGAGCAGAAGAAAUUGCACUGAGCAGGGCCCUGAGACUGGCUAAAGAAAAGAGAGCGAAGAUAUACACAGAUUCAGCUUAUGCAUUUGGGGCAGCACACGUGGAGCCCGGUCAAUGGAAGAGAGCAGGCUUCAGAGCGGCAACAAAUGCUCACAUUUCAAAGAAGAAAGAAAUGGGAGGACUGGAAAAGGUCCUGGAUGACCCAAACGAGGUCAGUAUCAUAAAAUGCAAAGGAUACUCUCAAGCAACCACAUUGGUGGCACAAGGGAACCAGAAAGCAGAUGAGGCUGCCAAGUAAGCAGCAGGCUACAAAGGAAAGCAGCAAAUGGUGAGAUGCCGGGGAAAAAAGAGUGAGUUCGGACGAAGAAGUCCGAGAAAAGGACACCUUGAGUUGAGCAAGGUGUUUAAAUGACUCAGGAUUUCAGAGAAUCGAGUCAGCUGUGAUCUUGAGUUCUAAUGGUAAAUUGAUUUUAAAGGAAAAUCAAUGUUGACCAUGUUGAAGUAAUUGUGAAAAUAUUACUAGAUGUGCUGUGAUACAAGUGAAGAAUAAGUUGUGUACAUGGGGAUACACAAUUGUGUUGAUAUUGAUGGAUCGGCGGCAGUCCAUGUGAUAAGUUAAUACUGGGUGCAUUGAGACAAGAAACUGUUUUUAAAUCAGCACUGGCGGCAGUGAUAUACAUGUGCUGAAGAUUACUGGACCCAGCGAGGUCCAUUUGAUGAAGUCCUUGGGUAGAUAAAUGACAGAAACAGUUUUUGAAUCUUGUGUGAGAAUUUUGAAGCACUGAGAUUGAGUUUUCUCCGUGCUUGGUGCGCUGUGAGGACUUAUCUGACGGUUAUAAGUCCAAAGUUUAUGCCUUGGAGGCCAAGAGUUGUGUGAAGAGAAGAACAUGACUUAGAAAAGGACAUUUAUGGUCAGAUUUUGUCUAAGAUGGGGAGAAUUGUCCGAUAUGGGUUUAUUUUUUUUUCUUGUAAAAGGACAGACGCAGUUACUGGGUGUUGUCUACUACCUCUAUUGUUUUUUGUUUUUAUUUUAAUAGAGGGAGUUUUAUUAAACAUGGACAUGUCUAGAAUUGGGCACUUUAAAAUGAUAACAGUGCACUUAAAAAUCCUGUCAGGUGAUUUUGUUUUGUGUUUUGAUGAGCUAAUAAUCAGCUCUCUUUUUCUCAUUUUUGUUCUAAGCAGGCCUGGAAGAGUGAAUAACAGCGCUGUAAAAAAUUUCCGGACAAACAAAUAUAA